CCAAUAGCGUAUAUUAAAGUUGUUGCAGUUAAAAAGCUCGUAGUUGAAUUUCGGGAUUGACCCAUCGGUCGUGCCUUAAGGGGUAUGAACUGGUGUAGUCAAUUUCUCACCUUCUGGAGAACCGCGAUGUCCUUAAUUGGGUGCCGCGAGGAACCAGGACCUUUACUUUGAAAAAAUUAGAGUGUUUAAAGCAGGCAUUUUUGCUUGAAUACAUUAGCAUGGAAUAAUAAAAUAGGACGGCAUGAUUCUAUUUUGUUGGUCUCUAGGAUCACCGUAAUGAUUAAUAGGGAUAGUUGGGGGCAUUAGUAUUCAAUUGUCAGAGGUGAAAUUCUUGGAUUUAUUGAAGACUAACUACUGCGAAAGCAUUUGCCAAGGAUGUUUUCAUUAAUCAAGAACGAAAGUUAGGGGAUCGAAGACGAUCAGAUACCGUCGUAGCCUUAACCAUAAACUAUGCCGACUAGGAAUCAGACGAUGUUAAUUUUUUAAUGACUCGUUUGGCACCUUACG
rnacentral:rRNA from 1 species